rnacentral:lncRNA from 7 species
GGGGAAUGCGUGGCGCCGCUCUUAGAGAGCUUGAGUCCUCGGGCCCGUCCGUGGCUAGGGGUUUUUAAACCAAAGGGAGGUUAGCGAUUACGGCAAAAAUAAUACUUUACUCUGAGCUGGAACUUCUUACCAGCGAAUCUAAGCACUGUGCGUAGGGAUGGGGAAUCCAAGGUGGCAAAUGGAGGACUACAGAGACACUUGACAAGGCAGUUUUCAUAAUUAAAAAAGCAAAAUGUCAGCAGCCAGCCUGGGUGGGCCAUACCAGGUGCCAGACAUGGGCCAGAGGGAUCCCAGCAAAGGCCCUGCCUUGAAAAUGGAGCCUGGAGGAUGGACAAGGCCACAAGGAAAGUGGCAGUGUUGUCUGCAGCAGCGUUAAGGCUUUUAGCAAUGGCAAAUCCUUUUUUUUUUCAGAUGAUAUGCACUUAGUAGCAGUAUAGCCAACUAGCUCAGAUUUGAUAGCUUACAGAGCUAAGAGUUUGUUAACAUUUCAUUGAUAAAGGAUAAGAAGGGAAAAUUGUGUUCCCAGAAAUUAAGUAAAUGGGAGGCUAGGACCUUGAAGAAAGGUAAACAGGGGAGAAAAGAAUGAGAGGGAGAAGUGUGGCCUUCUCUGCGAAGAUAUAAGGCCAUUGCUGCUUCUGUACCUGACUCAAAUACCCAGCUCAACCAUUGGCAAAAGAAGUGGAAAGCUUCACCAAGGACUUCAGGGAACGAGAUAACUGGUGCUGGGGAGCCAUAGAGAGCUGGGAAUCAGAUUCUCUGUACUGGAAGAUGAAGGGUCAACAACAAAAUGUGACUUUGCCAAAUGCAGAUUCAGUUCCUGGGGUGUUCAAUACAGUGACACAUAUCACGGCAUUUCAGAAUUUGCUGUGUACAGAAGCACCGCAAAAAGUUUUUUCACUUAGGUAGAGAAUAACAGAAAAAACCCAAAUGGGAAGUUUUUCUAUACUGUCUUGGAUGACAAGGUUAAGCAGAGAAUCUGUUAACACACACACACACACACACACAAAAAAAAAAAACAGUGACAAUUUAAAUAAAUCAGAUGUUUUU